ACGAGUUUAUCAUGGCUCAGGAUGAACGCUAGCGGCAGGCUUAACACAUGCAAGUCGAGGGGGUAGAGGAAGCUUGCUUCCUUGAGACCGGCGCACGGGUGCGUAACGCGUAUACAAUCUACCUUUACAGAGGGAUAGCCCAGAGAAAUUUGGAUUAAUACCUCAUAGUAUUUUCGGAUCGCAUGAUUUGAUUAUUAAAGUUCCAACGGUAAAAGAUGAGUAUGCGUCCCAUUAGCUAGAUGGUAAGGUAACGGCUUACCAUGGCAAUGAUGGGUAGGGGUCCUGAGAGGGAGAUCCCCCACACUGGUACUGAGACACGGACCAGACUCCUACGGGAGGCAGCAGUGAGGAAUAUUGGACAAUGGGCGCAAGCCUGAUCCAGCCAUGCCGCGUGCAGGAAGAAGGCCUUCGGGUUGUAAACUGCUUUUGUACGGAACGAAAAGGCUCUUUCUAAUAAAGAGGGCCCAUGACGGUACCGUAAGAAUAAGCACCGGCUAACUACGUG
rnacentral:rRNA from 1 species